GUGAAUCAUCGAAUCUUUGAACGCACAUUGCGCCCUUUGGUAUUCCGAAGGGCAUGCCUGUUCGAGCGUCAUUAUCACCCCUCAAGCCUCUCGGCUUGGUGUUGGACGGUUUGGCGGAGACUUACGUCUCUGCCCCUCCCAAAGACAAUGACGGCGGCCUCGUUGGACCCCCGGUACACUGAGUUCUUCACGGGACACGUACUGGAUAUAAGGGUGCGCGGGGCCCGGUCUAACCUCCCUUUGGGGAGAAUAUUUUCCAAGGUUGACCUCGGAUCAGGUAGGGAUACCCGCUGAACUUAAGCAUAUCAAUAAGCGGAGGA
rnacentral:misc_RNA from 1 species